UUUUUAAAGUUUCCAACUUUAUUAUUUAUUGCCUUGCCCACCAGGAUCCCCGUGUUUGAAGAUAUGUCUUGAUAGGGAUCGAAAAAAAAGUUUAAUGUUAUAUUUACUGUAAUAACGAUUUGGGAUCUGUGCAUACGGUUCGUCACAACUCAUAUUUCUAUGUUACAGUACGGUAUGGGUUAUUAAUAACUACUGCAUUGCAUUAACACCAUUCGAAACAAAAAUAUUAGUCUUAUCCUGGGCGCAAUAUUGCCCUGGCAUGUUGGUAAACCUAUAAAAGUUAUCUUGCAACAUACAGUAAUAUAUUAAUUAAAACGAGUAAGCAUGCCCUAUUAUUUUCAUUAGAAAUUACGUUAAUGUAACACAUAUCAUAUCGUUAUUUAUUACUGAAUUAGAAUUUAAAAGCGUUCUCAGACAAUGUAAAGGUCUCCUAAUUUAAGACCAUUUCUGGGACCGGGGUUUUCAUGUUCCUUAGUAGGUUUGCUUUCAAAUUGGAGUAAAAAGAAAAUAAAAGAAACAUUUGAUAAUUUGAGACCACAGAUAAUUGGUCUUUAAUUGGAAGGAAACCUGUAUAAUAUAUUGAUUAUGAUUGUUUGGUACCGGUACCCUCAGCGCAAUAAAAAAAAAUGUAAUAAUAUUUAUAUCAUUUCAAUGCUGUCAUAAACGGGUUUACACGUUUAUUUUGUUGAUGUCAUUUCUCAGCUGUCUUAAGACUGCUAGUACUGUACAAUUAAUAUUUUACUCUUGAGACAGACACAGAACUUUGUUUGACUUCUUCACCCGGAAAAUCCUUCAAAGUUUUAGAGAUCUCUAUUAUUGAUGAAAUAUACAGAGGCUUGCUAUAGUAUUUUAGGAGUUUAAAACAAUAAAUGCGUGUAAAAUAUUA